rnacentral:rRNA from 1 species
UACGAAGGGGGCUAGCGUUGCUCGGAAUCACUGGGCGUAAAGCGCACGUAGGCGGAUUGUUAAGUCAGGGGUGAAAUCCUGGAGCUCAACUCCAGAACUGCCUUUGAUACUGGCGAUCUCGAGUCCGGGAGAGGUGAGUGGAAUUCCUGGUGUAGCGGUGAAAUGCGCAGAUAUCAGGAAGAACACCCGUGGCGAAGGCGGCUCUCUGGGACGGUACUGACGCUGAGACGCGAAAGCGUGGGGAGCGAACAGG